CAAGAGAGUUCCCUUUUACUGUCAGAGAGUGAAAGUUAUAAGAAGGAUAAGGUUUGAGAUCUGAGUCAUUGUAUUCUGGACCCAAACAGGGGAGCAUGGCUGAAGCUGAUGUUAUUUACACUGAUGUAAACUUCAGAGCUCCUCACACUGAGGAUCAGGCUGCUUUACCAGCUGAGUGUAUUUAUUCUAAACCGGUGAUCUUGCAAAAGGGAUCAGACAUUCAACAAGACAAACUAAUCAAGAGGUCAAACUCCACCUUGAAGCGACUGGUUGUCCUGGUUCCUGUCCUUCUCUGUGCGGUCACUGUCAUUGCCCUUG